GGCGCCUUAGCUCAGUGGUUAGAGCACCCGACUCAUAAUCGGUUGGUCCCCAGUUCAAAUCUGGGAGGGGCCACCA
rnacentral:tRNA from 1 species